GUGUCAGCAGCCGCGGUAAGACGUAGGAUGCGAGCGUUGUCCGGAUUUAUUGGGCGUAAAGAGUUCGUAGGUGGUUUGUUAAGUCUGAUGUUAAAGAUCGGGGCCCAACCCCGGGACUGCAUUGGAUACUGGCAGACUGGAGUGUAGUAGAGGCAAGCGGAAUUCCCAGUGUAGCGGUGAAAUGCGUAGAUAUUGGGAAGAACACCAGUGGCGUAAGCGGCUUGCUGGGCUAUAACUGACGCUGAGGAACGAAAGCCAGGGGAGCGAAUGGGAUUAGAUACCCCAGUAGUCC
rnacentral:rRNA from 1 species